rnacentral:rRNA from 1 species
CAGUCGCCGCGGUAAUCCGUAGGUGGCAAGCGUUGUCCGGAAUUAUUGGGCGUAAAGCGCGCGCAGGUGGUUUAAUAAGUCUGAUGUGAAAGCCCACGGCUCAACCGUGGAGGGUCAUUGGAAACUGUUAAACUUGAGUGCAGGAGAGAAAAGUGGAAUUCCUAGUGUAGCGGUGAAAUGCGUAGAGAUUAGGAGGAACACCAGUGGCGAAGGCGGCUUUUUGGCCUGUAACUGACACUGAGGCGCGAAAGCGUGGGGAGCAAACAGGAUUAGAUACCCCGGUAGUCCCUGUUUCUUAUAC